GUGGGCGGUGGUGGUGGAUCUGCAGCCUUGUUCUCCACCCUGGAUGCAUAUAGGUCUUGAGCAGCAAGUGUCAAAAAUGCAGUGUCCUUUUGUACUGGGUACUGAAAUUCAUUCCAGGCAGGACUAACAGCC